rnacentral:rRNA from 1 species
AAUGGCGAGUUUGAUCCUGGCUCAGGAUAAACGCUGGCGGCGUGCCUAACACAUGCAAGUCGAACGUCUCUUCUUUCGGGAAGAGGAGUGGCGGACGGGUGAGGAACACGUGGGAACCUGCC